rnacentral:lncRNA from 10 species
AGCAAUCAGCGAGACUCCGUGGGCGUAGGACCCUCCAAGACAGGUGUGGGAUAUAAUCUCGUGGUGCGCCGUUUUUUAAGCCCGUCGGAAAAGCGCAGUAUUCGGGUGGGAGUGACCCGAUUUUCCAGGUGCCGUCCGUCACCCCUUUCUUUGACUCGGAAAGGGAACUCCCUGACCCCUUGUGCUUCCCAAGUGAGGCAGUGCCUCGCCCUGCUUCGGCUCGUGCACGGUUCGCGCACCCACUGACCUGCGCCCACUGUCUGGCACUCCCUAGUGAGAUGAACCCAGUACCUCAGAUGGAAAUGCAGAAAUCACCAUCUUCUGCGUCGCUCACGCUGGGAGCUGUAGACCGGAGCUGUUCCUAUUCGGCCAUCUUGAAUUGUAGGCAUUUUUAAAAACAGACUCUGGAGAUGAAUCUUUUCUAGUUAUAUACUUUGCCCACCCAUGGCCACCCAUGGACCAGUCAGCUUGUACUUCCUCCCCUCUGAAGCCCACAAAAUCUCUGGAUUCAGUCAGACUCGGGCAGAUGACAGGAUGACCUGCUUGUGGAGAGGAGCUACCCACUCUGGAUCUCCUCUCUGCUGAGGGCUGCACACUCAUUGGGAUGACCUGCCUGCACAUAGAAGG